UUCAUUUAUAAUUUGAAUAUACUUACAGCUCCCGGAACAAAUCAGUAUAGCUUUCUUGGACUUCAGUUCAGCGCUGCUUUUAGUUGGGUGUAAACGUGUUUAAUAAUUUGUUAAGAAAAUGCCGAAAGUGAAAUUUAAUGUGCUGUGGAUUAAACCGUAUGCAGAACUUCAAAUGGAAGGUGAAAAUGUGUUGCACGGUAUGUUGAAAAAUUAUUAACGUCGAUACAAAAUUUCACGUGCAUCAGCAUGUCAAAACAGCCAAACAUACUGCAAAUA
rnacentral:misc_RNA from 1 species